rnacentral:lncRNA from 1 species
UGGAAGAAGAGAGUUUUCUUUUAUUUUUAUUUUUUUAAUUAUUAUUCAAUUUAUUUCUAAAUUCUGAUUGGAUAAUAAAAUGUACAUGGAUUGUGAACUUAGACCCUUGAUUAUAUUGAAUCAACGAUUUAGUUUGAAUCAAAGAAGCACACGAAGAAACACACAUUAUUUAAAUAAAUCAAAAUGUAUAUAAUGCAUUUUUUAGAUGACUUAAUCGAUUUAAAACAAUUUUAAUCAGUUGAAUCAAAUAAAAUUCACAAAUUUUUAAACAACCUUGAUAAAAUUAAAAUAAUAACAUGGAAAAUUUUAUUUAUUCAAUCUGACUAUUUUGACGAAAGAACAAAAUUAAAACGACUAAAAAUGAAUAAAAUUCGGGCAAAAAUUUG